rnacentral:rRNA from 1 species
AUGUCCUGGAACGUUAGAGGUUUAAACUGCCCGGCGAAGCGCAUGGUCGUCAGCGACGUAGUCUCUUCUCAUAGAGUAGCAGUGCUCUGCCUACAGGAAACCAAAAUCGAUACUUGGACGACGGGGGUAGCUAGUGAGAUAGGCGGUAGUAGAUUGCAGGGGUGUGUGGUGCUGCCGGCGAUCGGGACCAGAGGUGGAGCGGCAAUUUUCUGGGAUAAAGAUGUAGUCGACGUAGUUUCUCACUACUUAGGCAGCUUCUCCAUCACUGCAAGAGUGCACGAACUGAGCUCCGGGCAGCAUUUUUGGAUGACCACA